rnacentral:rRNA from 1 species
CCUACGGGUGGCAGCAGUGAGGAAUAUUGGUCAAUGGGCGCGAGCCUGAACCAGCCAAGUCGCGUGAGGGAAGACGGUCCUAUGGAUUGUAAACCUCUUUUGUCGGGGAGCAAAAGACGCCACGCGUGGCGUUCCGAGAGUACCCGAAGAAAAAGCAUCGGCUAACUCCGUGCCAGCAGCCGCGGUAAUACGGAGGAUGCGAGCGUUAUCCGGAUUUAUUGGGUUAAAAGGGUGCGCAGGCGGAAGAUCAAGUCAGCGGUAAAAUUGAGAGGCUCAACCUCUUCGAGCCGUUGAAACUGGGUUGCUUGAGUGAGCGAGAAGUAUGCGGAAUGCGUGGUGUAGCGGUGAAAUGCAUAGAUAUCACGCAGAACUCCGAUUGCGAAGGCAGCAUACCGGCGCUCAACUGACGCUCAUGCACGAAAGUGUGGGUAUCGAACAGGAUUAGAUACCCUUGUAGUC